AUACGGAGGGGGCUAGCGUUGUUCGGAAUUACUGGGCGUAAAGCGUACGUAGGCGGACUGAUCAGUUGGGGGUGAAAUCCCAGGGCUUAACCCUGGAACUGCCUUCAAUACUGUCAGUCUUGAGUUUGGGAGAGGUGAGUGGAAUUCCUAGUGUAGAGGUGAAAUUCAUAGAUAUUAGGAGGAACACCAGUGGCGAAGGCGGCUCACUGGCCCGAUACUGACGCUGAGGCGCGAAAGCGUGGGGAGCAAACAGGAUUAGAAACCCUAGUAGUCC
rnacentral:rRNA from 1 species